rnacentral:rRNA from 1 species
GAUGAACGCUAGCUACAGGCUUAACACAUGCAAGUCGAGGGGCAGCAUGGUCUUAGCUUGCUAAGGCCGAUGGCGACCGGCGCACGGGUGAGUAACACGUAUCCAACCUGCCGUCUACUCUUGGACAGCCUUCUGAAAGGAAGAUUAAUACAAGAUGGCAUCAUGAGUUCACAUGUUCACAUGAUUAAAGGUAUUCCGGUAGACGAUGGGGAUGCGUUCCAUUAGAUAGUAGGCGGGGUAACGGCCCACCUAGUCUUCGAUGGAUAGGGGUUCUGAGAGGAAGGGCCCCCACAUUGGAACUGAGACACGGUCCAAACUCCUACGGGAGGCAGCAGUGAGGAAUAUUGAUCAAUGGGCGAGAGCCUGAACCAGCCAAGUAGCGUGAAGGAUGACUGCCCUAUGGGUUGUAAACUUCUUUUAUAAAGGAAUAAAGUCGGGUAUGUAUACCCGUUUGCAUGUACUUUAUGAAUAAGGAUCGGCUAACUCCGUG